GUUCCUGCCUCUCCGCCACCUCCACCGCAGCCUCUGACCCCCGGCCGGCGUUGUUGGCGGGGAGGGGGACAGUAGUUGUAGACGCCCGCCCCUGCCUCAGAGAAGAUAAUCCCUUUCUGUCAACCUAAUGAAGCAUUCAAACAAACCAUAUGACUCUUUUCAAGAUGAACUUGAAGAUUAUAUUAAAGUACAGAAAGCCAGAGGCUUAGAGCCAAAGACUUGUUUCAGAAGGAUGAGAGGGGAAUAUUUGGAAAGCUGUGGGUACAGAGAAGAGUUUGAUUCCAGGCCCAGGUAUAGAAUGUUUGAUCAAAGAAUCCCAUCUGGAACAAACCAUUCAUACCCAAGAUCAUGCAGUAGUUCACAGACAGAAGACCGGGUACCCCAGUGGUUACCAGCUCAUGACAAGAUAAGACUAAACUCUCUGAACUACUGUCAAUUUACCAGGGAUGGCUUCUCAGAAAAACCAGUCUCCUUGAACCUUAGUCAGCAAGAAUACAAUUGUGGCUCAUAUAGUGUAGAAUCUGUAGUUCACAAGGAUCUCUGCUCAGGACACAGUACCAUCGACCCUCAAGUCAGUCAUAGACAAAUGUACCAGAAGAGGAAACGACAUCUAGAGGAGGGCAGAGAAAGGCAGGAAGAACGGCCCAAACAUGAGAGGAAAAGGAGUUCUGAGGAAAUGGAUUUAAACAAACAUAAGAGCAUCCAAAGAAAGAAAACAAAGGCAGAAACAGAAACUGUACAGGAUGGUACAGAAAAGCUUAAGAAUCGAAAAG
rnacentral:lncRNA from 1 species